UGCAUUUCUUUGAUUAAAUCGCCCCAAAUGAAAAGUUUGGAAUCCAGAACGGGGAUAUUUCAAUAAUGUUUUACAACUAGAAACAUUGUAGCAAUUUUCACAUCCUGGAGAAUGAUGGCACUCCGGUAGAAUGUGGGGGUAAUUUUUGGUAGUUUGGUCAUCAUCAGUGUAAUGUUACAGAGCCAGUUCUUGUUCUCUCUCUCUUCUCUAGUUUCAUGGCUUAGUGUCAAAAACUCUCUCUCUGAAUUACACCACUAGAGAGAUUCUGUCUAAGAAAUUAGGGUUUUUUCUCCUAAUGAUAACUCUCUGCAAAAGAAUUAUAGUCUCGGGUCCUAAAUCCUAAUUUGAAAGUCUUGAGUGAAUGGGAACACAACUAGAAGCAAAACCACCCGGUUUUUCAGGAGUUAUGCAGUACUUUCUCUGCUAAAUUCAUGGGUUGUGGGUUUCCUAUUUGGUUGCUUUGUUCUGCAAAAAAAAAAGAAGUGGGUUUUGGAUUUUAAUCUCAAUAUUGUAAAAUGUAAAGAUUGGGAAGACCACCAUAAGAAAACUACCUGGUUUUUUUGAAACUUGUUGAUUGCUUCCCCCGCAUUAAAUAAGAUUUUUUGGGUUUUCUUCUGAGUAUUCUCUCUCUUUAGGGAACUGGUAUUUUGGAUUUUUGAUGAAAAAACUUUGGUAAAAUGGGAAAACCAUCUGAAUCAAACUCAUCAGGUUUUGUAGAAACUGUGGAUGAAAUCAUGAGAAUUUACAGAUCACUACCAAGAAGGCCAAGCCUUGAUGAAGUUGAGGCAGCCAUGGGUAUCAUAAGGACUGUCGAAAAUGAAGAAAGUCUCAAAAUUGAGGCCAUUUCUAACCAGAAGAAACCCCCAGAUGUGCCAGAAGAACUGUUCAUUUUGUUACAAGAGUUUCAGAAUAACUCAGUGUUGUUGCAGAGCGAAGAACAAAAGAAAGAAGCUGUGUUUGUUCUUAGUUUGGAGAAGAAAUUUGAAGUCUUUGAUGGGCUUUUACAGAGGGUAAACAAAUUGGUUAAUGGUGAUGAGUCUAUUGCUUCUGUUUUUCGCUCUGAGGAAGUUUUUCAUGGGGUCACUGAUUCAGUGGCUUCCUCUCUUGAGAUUAGUAAAAUUGGAAAGAAAAUUUUCAGUUUGGGUGAGAGUAAGAGUUCAGAAUCAGAAGCUCCUAAAGGAGUAGUGAAGGAUUCCUCUCUCAAAUCUACUGUUUCGUCAGAUUUGGAAAAACUUGGACUGAUGAAGGUGGCGAGUUUGAUUGAAAUAUGUGCAAAGGAUGGUGCUAAAGACAUCAACCUUCAAGGGAAGUUGAUGGACCAGAUUGAAUGGCUUCCUCUUUCAAUAGGGAAGUUAUCUGAAACUCUCUCUCUAAAUUUAGCGGAGAAUCGAAUCAUGGCCCUUCCUACGACAAUUAGUGGCCUCAAGUCCCUAAUGAAACUUGAUCUUCAUUCGAACCAGCUUAUAAACCUUCCUGCGUGUUUUGGAGAGCUGUUCAACUUAACCGAUCUGGAUUUACAUUCAAACCAAUUAAAAUCUUUGCCACCCACAUUUGGAAACUUGACAAAUCUGGUUAAUCUAGACUUGAGUUCUAACAAGUUCUCGUACCUUCCUGAAUCAAUGGGAAAGCUCACGAGCCUAAAAACUUUGGACAUAGAAACCAAUGAGCUCGAAGAAUUUCCAUACACUAUUGGCCAUUGUACAUCCCUGGUUCAGUUGAGAGCCAAUUUCAAUCAGCUCAAAGCCUUGCCAGAAGCCAUUGGAAAGCUCGAGAAUUUGGAAGUCCUAACUUUACAUUACAACAGAAUUAAAGGGCUACCGACUACUGUGGCUUCUCUCUCAAGCCUGAAGGAGCUGGAUGUGAGCUUCAAUGAGAUAGAAUCAGUCCCUGAAAGUCUGUGUUUUGCGACUAGUCUUGUGAAGCUGAACCUAGGGAAAAAUUUCGCAGAUUUGAGAGCCUUACCCAAAUCAAUAGGGAACCUUGAGAUGCUUGAAGAGUUGGAUAUAAGCGAUAAUCAGAUAAGGGUUCUGCCCGAUUCUUUCAGAUUGCUUUCUAAGCUGAGAGUUCUUUACACUGAUGAAACUCCUCUCGAAGUGCCACCAAUACAAGUUGCCAAACUAGGAGCUCAGGCAGUUGUUCGGUACAUGGCUGAGCUCCAUGAGAAGAAAGAUAUGAAAUUGAAAACACCUAAAAGGACUGACUUUUGGGUUUGGUUUUGCAUACUUUUCUGCUCUCCGAGAAGAAAUAAUGGCGACAAGGACAGUGGCAAGGUUUAGAUGUUGCAAUUGGGAUGCAAAUUUAGGGUUGUUCAUGAAUUAGGGGAGAAAGGUGGUUCAUGAAUUAGGGGAGAAAGGUGGCACUUCUCUGAAGCAAAUGAUACUUUGGAAGCUUUUUUGCAGUAAGAGUUCAUUCUAUCUGGUAUGGCACUAUGAAUAUCCAUGUGAAACGAACCCCUUGCUUUAUGGAGUUCCCCUGUCUUCAAGGAACCUUGCCUUCAAUUCUGUGGACCAAAAUGAGGCAACUUGGAUCGAGGAAGGAACUUUGAAUUACUCAUUGAAAUAUUUUUACAAGAUGAAAAGGACAUCAAUUCCACAUAGGGGGUACUAUAUGAAAUUGGUCAUCCCUAGCUCAACUCUGCUAAUCUUAAGUGAUGAGAGCAAAGUUAUAAAACUAAAUGUAUAGAGGAAACAUUCUUCACAUUUAAUCAAUCCAAUGUUUUUUUGUUGGUUUGGAAAAGUAUAAAUUAAGAUUGUUUUCCUUUGGUUCAAAGAGAUCAUAGUUUUCCAUAACUGUCAUAUGUGAGUAGGGCACUUGGGGU